rnacentral:rRNA from 1 species
GACGAACGCUGGCGGCGUGCUUAACACAUGCAAGUCGAACGGAAAGGCCCUGCUUUUGUGGGGUGCUCGAGUGGCGAACGGGUGAGUAACACGUGAGUAACCUGCCCUUGACUUUGGGAUAACUUCAGGAAACUGGGGCUAAUACCGGAUAGGAGCUCCUGCUGCAUGGUGGGGGUUGGAAAGUUUCGGCGGUUGGGGAUGGACUCGCGGCUUAUCAGCUUGUUGGUGGGGUAGUGGCUUACCAAGGCUUUGGCGGGUAGCCGGCCUGAGAGGGUGACCGGCCACAUUGGGACUGAGAUACGGCCCAGACUCCUACGGGAGGCAGCAGUGGGGAAUAUUGCACAAUGGGCGGAAGCCUGAUGCAGCAACGCCGCGUGCGGGAUGACGGCCUUCGGGUUGUAAACCGCUUUCGCCUGUGACGAAGCGUGAGUGACGGUAAUGGGUAAAGAAGCACCGGCUAACUACGUGCCAGCAGCCGCGGUGAUACGUAGGGUGCGAGCGUUGUCCGGAUUUAUUGGGCGUAAAGGGCUCGUAGGUGGUUGAUCGCGUCGGAAGUGUAAUCUUGGGGCUUAACCCUGAGCGUGCUUUCGAUACGGGUUGACUUGAGGAAGGUAGGGGAGAAUGGAAUUCCUGGUGGAGCGGUGGAAUGCGCAGAUAUCAGGAGGAACACCAGUGGCGAAGGCGGUUCUCUGGGCCUUUCCUGACGCUGAGGAGCGAAAGCGUGGGGAGCGAACAGGCUUAGAUACCCUGGUAGUCCACGCUGUAAACGGUGGGUACUAGGUGUGGGGUCCAUUCCACGGGUUCCGUGCCGUAGCUAACGCUUUAAGUACCCCGCCUGGGGAGUACGGCCGCAAGGCUAAAACUCAAAGGAAUUGACGGGGCCCCGCACAAGCGGCGGAGCAUGCGGAUUAAUUCUAUGCAACGCGUAGAACCUUACCUGGGUUUGACAUGGAUCGGGAGUGCUCAGAGAUGGGUGUGCCUCUUUUGGGGUCGGUUCACAGGUGGUGCAUGGCUGUCGUCAGCUCGUGUCGUGAGAUGUUGGGUUAAGUCCCGCAACGAGCGCAACCCUUGUUCACUGUUGCCAGCACGUUAUGGUGGGGACUCAGUGGAGACCGCCGGGGUCAACUCGGAGGAAGGUGGGGAUGACGUCAAGUCACCAUGCCCCUUAUGUCCAGGGCUUCACGCAUGCUACAAUGGCUGGUACAGAGAGUGGCGAGCCUGUGAGGGUGAGCGAAUCUCGGAAAGCCGGUCUCAGUUCGGAUUGGGGUCUGCAACUCGACCUCAUGAAGUCGGAGUCGCUAGUAAUCGCAGAUCAGCAACGCUGCGGUGAAUACGUUCCCGGG